AAGCACUCCCUUCAUGCCUUCAUGUAGCCACCAGAUGUAUGUCUGGCUAAUGUCUAAAGACCCUUUGUGCUCUCUUUCCUUGCUUUGAUAUUCUUUGAUACUUCUAUCUAAAUAAAAACUGUGUGCAGUCUGCUGCGGCUGCUGCUGUUCUUGCUGGCAGAGAGAGCACUGCACGUACGCUCAGCCUAAGUAUCUGAGAAUUUUUUCUUCAGAGUGCAGCAUCAAGUGGCGCCUGAAAGGGACCAAGAGAAUCUACUGGCUCCAGGCUGUGUACCUCACCUCUCAAGCCCAAAAACAGAAAAGGACAUCUGCGCAUUCAGUUAUCAACAUGAUGGUGUCUCUUUGCUCCCGUAACAAGUCACCCAAGGUAUUCUUCACCAAUACCCAGAUGCUCACCACUUCUGUGACAACGCCUUUUCCUGCUAAUAAAAAGAUAAAAGGGGGUAGAUGGGCCUUGACACUGACUGAAGGCAUGGAGGCAAAUUUCCAUCAUGUAUUAAACGCUGCCAGCCAUAUAAAACUCAGUCUGACAACAGAAGAAGUCACCAAAGGAAUUGCCAGCUCUGAGAGGCAGUGAUUUUAAGACCUGGCUCCUGCUGUUCCCUGAACGGGUCCCCCAGCAGAGGGAGGUGAGUGGAGACUAAGCAGCCUGCCGUCCAGUCCCUCUGCCUUCCUUCAACAGUUUGUUUUGACACAUUGCAUUUCUCUGUAUUUUAUUUGAAAAUAAACAUCUCUUUGCAGUUAAAAUCAA